CAGCCUAGGAGUCAUUGACAAGGACAUUGUGUUAACCGCAAGAGCAGGGUGUAGGGAGACAGAAGAUGGUAAGAACCUGUGAGAAAGGAAGUCAAGGGAUCAGAAGAAUUCUCUGGAAUGCUGCUUAGGCAAUCUCCAGACUGGAUGUCUAGGUGUGACAGCACCCAUCCAGCCCAUGGUCUGCAUACCUGGUUGAGUACAACCCAGUUUGGAUCAAUCUGAGCAUCACCCUCAGGAUCCAGAACUACGGUCUGAUAGGCCCGGAAGUCUGUAAGGGUGACUUCUGCACUUUCCGGACACACAUCCAGAGGGUCAACCACUGCGUCAUUGUCAAAGUCAUCCUCACACACAUCACCAACACCGUUGCCUGGAGAGAGUGAAGCUAGGUACUCAGGCCCUGGCAACUGGUACCACUGGGGUUUUCCAUUCCUGACCCCUCACUCCCUUCAGUAGACCUGCCACCUCCUGUGCAUAGCCCUUAUCAGUUUAACCAUCUCUGGGGCCCCCCUCCCCCCAUCCUUACCAUCUGAGUCUUUCUGAUUAGGAUUGGGUACCAGGCGACAGUUGUCAGGCCCAGGAGGCACAUAAUCUGGGACACCAUCAUUGUCAUCAUCCCCAUCACACUCAUCUCCAAGUCCAUCAUUGUCUGAGUCCAGCUGAGAGCUAUUUGGCAGCUGAGGACAGUUGUCCUUGGUGUCCUGAUGCCCAUCUCCAUCGCUGCUCAGAAGAAGGGAACAAAAUACCAGCUGAGUAGGCCUGCUUCUCCAGUUCAUUGACUCCCAACCUCCUUGCCUCACCUCUACAGAUCUCCCAGCCACCCCCACAGCCCCAGGCCUGCACCAUCCCCAUCCACAUCGUUGUCACAGGC